AGUAGCCUUAACUUGAUUUUUGGAGCAUGAACUUCUUGGUGAGAAGCCUUCUCCAAGUAUGCCUUGCCUCUUCUGGGAUUCAGGAGACUGGUGUCCAGUUUGGCUGCUCCCCUUAGUAUGAGGGGUGAAGUAUUGUCCAAAGCUCACAGAGGACCAAAAGCAAGAUAUAAACUGGGAAUAAACAGGGAAUUUGAAAAGAACCAAACAGGGGAAGUGGACAUUAAAAGCCUGGCUGAAUUUCCCACAUUUGUUGGAAGAGAACAUUGAACAACCACAGGAGCCUUGGCUGAGGAGGAGGAAGAUAUAGGACCCAUAAAACAUGGUUAACGUUCAUGGAAAAAGAAAGAAAUGUCAAGACAGCUGACUGAUGAAGUUUCUUGGGUAUUAACUAACAGAGAGGAUGAUUCAGCAUGGAGAAGAGCAGCCAGGCUGAGCUCUGUUAUUUGCUGCUCUGAGCUGCCCCCAGGAAUUUUCCUCUUUGUCACCAUGCUGGAAAUAUGAAAAAGCUGACUGAGGGAUUGAAUUGAAGGGAGGCAACCUUCGCAACCAGAACAUCACACGUGUACUCCCGGGGACGGGGCACAGAUGCAGGUGCAGAUCUCUUUUCUGUGCUGUGAUGUGGAGCCUGUAUCUGGAGACAGGAGGGUGUGGAAGGAUCCCAGCUGUGAGGUGGGACUGUGCAGCCCCUCAAACGUGGCCAGCUGGCCAGGGCUCAGUCCUGACGGCUGAGCUGCAGAGCAGGUAUGAAGCUGAAAUGCUGUGAAGCCGUGCAAGCGCCUGCUAUUCUGUAACACUGGGCCUGCCUGAGGGCAUGGAGAGCAAAAUGCUUUCCUAACAAAUUGUUUCACUGAGGUUUUAAACUGGAGACCGGCAAUGAUCCAAUAUACAUAGAGAAAACAUGCCAAAUACAAGCUGAAUUAUAAGAAACUAGGGGCUGGAUCUCCUCUAAUCUGCAGUAUAUUAUAUCUGAGAGGGCCAUGCAGCACUGAAGUGGUAGAAGUCUCUUGACUUCUCCACAAGGACUGGUUUUAUCCACGCAUCAUUCCUGGAGGAGACAAAGCUGCACUCCCUUUUGCUGCUACAAAGCAGAUGAAUCCAGGAUUUCCUGGGCAGGAAGCACCAGCAGAAAUCUUUGGGCAUGCCUAAAAGCCAAAUCAGUUGUAAGCUUCUCCCAGCUGUCUCCUGUGUUCUUCAGGCUUGUUGUUCUGUAUGAAGAUACAAUGCAACUAACUGGACUGAUUGCCCAAACAUGUACUGGCUUUUGGAGGGCUUGAAGACUUUCCUAAAUAAAAGCCGCGAUCUGCUUCUGAAUCGUUCAGCGAUUCGCAGUGUAUUUAUGAACUCAGAUGAAUGCCUCUAGUCUAUUCUUUCCAUUAAGUCACUCUUGGCUUUUAAAUGUAGCUGAGUCUUGCAGCAGACCUUACUCUUAAUCAGCACUGACUGGAGCUGCUCGGGAUAUUUUAGCUGAAGUGAAUUUUCCCUCAAAAGAUGUCAUUUUGAGUCCUUUUCUUUUUUUCACAAUAAUCAGUAGUGAUGGUGACUUUUCUCACCAGUAUUUCUAAUGCUUUUUCCACAGGAAAAGAAAAAAAAAAACUAAGGAAAGAUUAUUGAUUUUAUUUGCUGACAUUCCUGUGUCAUUCAAUCUUCCAACUGGCAUGUCAUAACCUAUUGUAGAAGUGUUGCGGCAGUUGAUGCGUUCUGGGAAGAAAAAGAAGGAUGUGUGGGGAGAUGAAGCAAAUGGGAAAGUGGACACAAGCACACAGUCCCUUCAUCAAGUGAGAUGAUACAUGACAUAAUGGACAGCAUAGGAUGUGAUAGUUAUGUUAUAAUACCUGCUAUAAUAGCCAUGGGAAAAAUAUAUUUUUAUUUUUGUUUUAUUCUUAAACAAAUAAGGGCAGCUGUUACUCAGCAAUGAUUGAAACUUCCUGUCUUUUCUGGUUUAUGUCUUCUACCAGCGUCAGUAUAUUUUAGCAUUUGGAAGAAAAAGUGCUCAUAAACUGCGUGAGCAGCUAUUGUUUAAAAUAUUUUAAAAUGAUUCCCAGUGAAGGCUAGAAUGGCUGUGUCUCAAGAAAUGAUGUAAA